AUGGGGAAAGGGAUGAGACAGUCCACAUGCUUCAGUGUCACAUGCCUCUUGGUCUGGCAGAGAUCAGGAGAUGGAUAAACAGUGUAUUCUUCCCAGACACUUCAAAUACAGGCAGCAUUUAGAAGUCACAAUAUUCGUAUGGAGAGGCUGUUCCCAGAAGAAGUAAUUUUAGUUGAAAUGGUGUUUACGCAGGUGUGAGGGUUGGACCUAUGGCUUCUCUCCAUAUCUCCCAAGCAAGACUUCUAUUCUUUAGCACUUUAGUAAGAGGAAUGUGGAAAAUACUCAUUUUUGCAAGCCUGUUGCCAUUAUUAGUUUUUUUUUUUUUUUUAAAUUCCGGUUUUAAAAUACAUUACAUUCAUAAGAAUUAACACUGAAGUUAUGAUGCAGUUCAGCUGUGUGUAGGUAAAAAUUCACUUCCAAGAAUAAAGGACUAGACUCCUUCUCCCUGCUCUCCCUGCCCUGUUGAAAUGCAGGGAGGUCGGGGAGAAGGAAUGGGUGGGUAUUCUAUAAAAUGUGAAGCAUUGUAUACUGAUGUAGGUCUUGGAAAUGUUUGUUCAAGUAUCCAAAGCAAACCCUGUACUUUUCUUUAGAAUUAUUUGGGAUCACUGAUAUUCAUGUAGAGUGAAUAAAAGUUAAAGUAGUAUUAAAAAAGGAAGGUUGGCUUCAUGCCUAAGAUGUGCUAGAUAAACUAAGUUUAGCCUGAAGAUGCACAUAUGCACUCCCACUGGUAUCCAUGGGAGCUGUGUGUGUGGCCUAUGUGUUUAAAAGCAGGAUUGAUUUUAAAGAGAAA